rnacentral:rRNA from 1 species
CCUACGGGCGGCAGCAGUGGGGAAUAUUGGACAAUGGGGGGAACCCUGAUCCAGCCAUGCCGCGUGUGUGAAGAAGGCCCUCGGGUUGUAAAGCACUUUCAGUGAGGAAGAACGCCUGGUGGUUAAUACCCAUCAGGAAAGACAUCACUCACAGAAGAAGCAUCGGCUAACUCCGUGCCAGCAGCCGCGGUAAUACGGAGGGUGCGAGCGUUAAUCGGAAUUACUGGGCGUAAAGCGCGCGUAGGUGGCUUGAUAAGCCGGUUGUGAAAGCCCCGGGCUCAACCUGGGAACGGCAUCCGGAACUGUCAAGCUAGAGUGCAGGAGAGGAAGGUAGAAUUCCCGGUGUAGCGGUGAAAUGCGUAGAGAUCGGGAGGAAUACCAGUGGCGAAGGCGGCCUUCUGGACUGACACUGACACUGAGGUGCGAAAGCGUGGGUAGCAAACAGGAUUAGAUACCCUGGUAGUC